AAACCUUUCUUGUGAAAUGGUAGUCAUCCAUACAAGACUUAAGAUGAAGUGCAAACAGCAGAAUCUGAUAAAUGCUUCUAAACCUAACUAUCCAGUGUUUGUGGACUGUUGUUUGUUUAUUCAUUGUUUUUCUUUUGGCCAUUGUGUUGCCUGUUUUUCUUCCACUUUUUGUUAGUGAUUGUCUCCCUUUUUUUUACAAAAAUAAAGAAAAUCAAACAAGUUUAAAAAGCAGAUAGUUUAAUCACUUUGAACAUACACUAGCACUAGUAAAGUGUAAACAAAAUAUAACAUACUGAUUUCAAACAAUUAUACUAUAAAAUAUACUCUCAUUGACUCACUGACAUAUAUUUGUUUGUUGUGGUGUAUUGUAUUUGGUAAGAAUUUUUGCUCUUGUAAUUUACAUUAAUUAAUCUAUUUAAUUUGAUUGCUAUAACUUGAUGAAGUUGAGAAAUAACAUAAGAUAUAAUAUUUUAUACCGUAUGGUCCUAUUUCUAGGUAAUCAUAGGUAAAGGAUCAUGUAGAUUAUUUUUCAUGUUAAAAAAGCCUCGAUGAAAUUUAAUAAUUUUUGAAAAGCAAAUUAAAUUAUUGUUUAGUAAUAUAAAAAAGAAAAACAGUGUUUUUUAAAACCAGUCCAAUAUUUCAUCUACUUAAUAAUUUUUUGUACUUAUUAUCACAAAACGAUUUUAAAUGAAUUAAGGAAAUACAAAACUUUGAUUAAGGACUGAUAGAAGCUAUAAGAAAAGACAAAACUUGAAAACUUACAAUUCAGCAAUGUUGUUUUGAAGAAAAGUAAAAAUACCCACAACAAUACCAAGUUGUUUUUUUAACAAUGUCUACAUUCAUUUAUUUUUAGGCAAAAAUUCAACAAUAACAAA